UACGUAGGGUGCAGGCGUUAAUCGGAAUUACUGGGCGUAAAGCGUGCGCAGGCGGUUUUGUAAGUCUGUCGUGAAAUCCCCGGGCUCAACCUGGGAAUUGCGAUGGAGACUGCAAGGCUAGAAUCUGGCAGAGGGGGGUGGAAUUCCACGUGUAGCAGUGAAAUGCGUAGAGAUGUGGAGGAACACCGAUGGCGAAGGCAGCCCCCUGGGUCAACACUGACGCUCAUGCACGAAAGCGUGGGGAGCAAACAGG
rnacentral:rRNA from 1 species